UAGUUUGACCUCGGAUCAGGUAGGGUUACC
rnacentral:rRNA from 2 species